GGGUUGUGAGGUUAAGCGACUAAGCGUACACGGUGGAUGCCCUGGCAGUCAGAGGCGAUGAAGGACGUGCUAAUCUGCGAUAAGCGUCGGUGAGGUGAUAUGAACCGUUAUAACCGGCGAUUUCCGAAUGGGGAAACCCAGUGUGUUUCGACACACUAUCAUUAAC
rnacentral:rRNA from 1 species